ACUACGGGAGGCAGCAGUGAGGAAUAUUGGUCAAUGGACGAGAGUCUGAACCAGCCAAGUAGCGUGAAGGAUGACUGCCCUAUGGGUUGUAAACUUCUUUUAUAUGGGAAUAAAACGUUCCACGUGUGGGAUUUUGUAUGUACCAUAUGAAUAAGGAUCGGCUAACUCCGUGCCAGCAGCCGCGGUAAUACGGAGGAUCCGAGCGUUAUCCGGAUUUAUUGGGUGUAAAGGGAGCGUAGGUGGAUUGUUAAGUCAGUUGUGAAAGUUUGCGGCUCAACCGUAAAAUUGCAGUUGAAACUGGCGGUCUUGAGUACAGUAGAGGUGGUCGGAAUUCGUGGUGUAGCGGUGAAAUGCUUAGAUAUCACGAAGAACUCCGAUUGCGAAGGCAGCUCACUGGACUGCAACUGACACUGAGGCUCGAAAGUGUGGGUAUCAAACAGGAUUAGAUACCCGAGUAGUC
rnacentral:rRNA from 1 species